rnacentral:rRNA from 1 species
UACGUAGGGUGCAAGCGUUGUCCGGAAUUAUUGGGCGUAAAGAGCUCGUAGGCGGUCUGUCGCGUCUGCUGUGAAAACUCAGGGCUUAACCCUGAGCUUGCAGUGGGUACGGGCAGACUAGAGUGCGGUAGGGGGAGACUGGAAUUCCUGGUGUAGCGGUGAAAUGUGCAGAUAUCAGGAGGAACACCGGUGGCGAAGGCGGGUCUCUGGGCCGUAACUGACGCUGGAGGAGCGAAAGCAUGGGGAGCGAACAGG